UUAAUUGAAGCCAAAAAGAGGCGUAUUACUGUUAAUAAUAUAAUUGAAUCUAUAAUUCCAAUUAAA
rnacentral:tRNA from 1 species